GCUGCUCUUUUCAAGAAAUGAACUCUCAAGAAUAAGUCAAGAUGAUAAUGAUAUUAUGCCAACACUGAAGCUAAGUUAUGAUCAUCUCCCAUCACAUUUGAAGCAUUGUUUUGCAUACUGCGCAUUAUAUCCAAAAGAUUAUGAGUUUGAUGUGAAAACAUUAAUCCAUCUUUGGGUUGUACAAGGGUUUAUUGUGUCACCAAGUAGGAGUGAUUGUGUUGAAGAUAUUGGGCUUGAAUAUUUUAUGAAACUGUGGUGGAGGUCAUUUUUUCAAGAGGUGAAAAAAGAUAGAUAUGGAAAUGUCAAAAGCUGUAAAAUGCAUGAUUUAAUGCAUGAUCUCGCAACCACAGUGGGUGGGACAAGGAUCCAGCUAGUAAAUUCUGAUGCUGAUGCAUUAAAUAUUGAUGAGAAAAUCAGUCAUGUAGCAUUGAAUUUGGAUGUUGCACCACAAGAAAUUCUUAAUAAUGCAAAAAGACUACUAUCAUUUUUUUUGCUUGGGAAACAUGAUUACGAUGAACUGUUUAUUCAUAAAAACUUAUGGUGCUUGCGUGCAUAUGAUAUGGGUAAUCAUAGCAUUAAGAAGGUGGAUAAUAGUAUAAAAAUACUAAAACAUCUAAGAUAUCUUGAUGUUUCUCGGAAUCGAAAACUUAGGGCACUUCCAAAUUCUAUUACGGAUUUGCUCAAUUUACAAGUAUUAAAUGUCUCUGGCUGUGACCAGCUCCAAGAAUUGCCCAAAGAUAUUAAAAAGCUUGUGAAUCUUAGGCAUUUAUACUGUGAAGGUUGUUACUCUUUGACUCAUAUGCCACGUGGGCUUGGGCAGUUGACUUCACUUCAGACGUUGUCAGUGUUCGUAGUGGCAAAAGGGCAUAUUUCCUCAAAGGAUGUUGGAAAAAUAAAUGAAUUGAAUAAACUUAACAAUUUGAGGGGACGUCUUGUAAUUAGAAAUCUAGGAUGUGUGGAUAAUGAGAUUGUAAAUGUUAAUUUGAAAGAGAAGCCACUCCUUCAAUCAUUGGAAUUACUUUGGGACCACCAGAGUUGGAAUGAUUCAAAUGUUGAUAGAGAUGAAAUGUCAUUCCAAAAUCUCCAACCACAUCCCAAUCUUAAAGAGUUAUAUGUCUAUGGCUAUGGAGGCAGGAGGUUCCCAAGUUGGUUCUCUUCCCUCUCGAAUCUUGUCAUACUCUGUAUAUCGGGUGGCAAUGGAUGUCAGCAUCUCCCAUCAAUGGUUCAAAUCCCUUCUCUUCAAUAUCUAUGUAUUUCGGGAUUAGACGAUAUAGAAUACAUGGAGAUUGAGGGACAACAAACAUCAUUCUUUCCAUCCCUAAAGACUCUCGAGCUACGUCAUUGUCCUAAGCUUAAAGGAUGGCAGAAGAAGAGGGAUGAUUCGACAGCACUUGAGCUACUCCAAUUUCCUUGUCUUUCAUAUUUCUCUUGUCAUAACUGCCCGAAUUUGACCUCCAUCCCUCAGUUUCCAUCUCUCGAUUUAUCACUAUAUUUGUACAAAGCAAGCCCACAACUUGUGCACCAAAUAUUCACACCAUCAAUCUCUUCUUCUUCCUCAAUCAUUCCCCCUCUCUCUAAAUUGAAGCACCUUUCGAUUAAGUACAUUGAAGAGCUCGAAUCUCUACCUCGAGAUGGACUGCGGAAUCUCACUUGUCUUCAAGCACUAACCAUUGAUACUUGUCCGGCAUUGAAGUGUCUGCCUCAGGAGUUGCAUUCCCUCACCUCUUUACGAGAGUUGGAUAUCCGGGACUGUCCCCAAUUGAAGGAAAGAUGUGGAAAUAAAAAGGGUGCGGAUUGGGAAUUCAUUUCACACAUCCAAAAUAUUGAAGUUGAUAGACAAACAAUUCAAAAGGAGGGCCGGUAUCUACUGGAUGAUGAAGCUUCGGUAAGUUGGUGCUUUUUCUUUCUAAUUUGCAAAUUGAACUUAUAUGAGAAAAUCUUCACUCUAUGAUUCUAUUACACAGAUCAGUGAAGGAUAAGUUUUCAACUGUUGGAUGUGUUUCUUCCAAAAUGAGCAGUGUAUUGCUUUUGAGUUCGUAAGUAUCCUUUUGUCAUUAUUUCUUUACAAUCAAGGUCAAUAAUAAAAUUUAUUUGCUUUAUAAUAAAAUUUUAACCCUUUUUUUUCCCCACAUAUACAGGCUCAUCAAGCUAGAGGAAUCAUUUAUUUGUUUUUUACGCACCUCAAAUUCUAAUAAAUUGGGAAGUGAGAAACAAAUUCAAGGAGAUUAAUUUUUUUUUUUUUAAGGUAAUUCUUCUAACCAUCAUUUUUUUUUAAGGUAAUUCUACCUUCAUUCUUUUCAUGGAUAUAAUGGAUUAAUUUUGACUCUAUGUGCAGAAGUUUGAGCCGGGCUGUUACAUGCACCAUGUUGAAACCUUAUUUAAUUAAAGGAGAAUUCUGGGUGCAUAUGUUCUUGCCAUCAAUGGCUCAUCAAGUAUGAGGAAUCACAUGGAUGCUUGGCAGGUCAUGCUUCUAAGUUCUCUCCAUCUUAUUUUUAUGAUGAUUAUUGUUUUAUAAUUCUGCCUUCCUUUGAAUUUCUCAAAAUAUAAAGAUUAAUUUGAUUCCAUGUGCAGAAGUUAUUAGAACAGACAUUAAGAAACGACAACUACAUGCCAUGGCAACAAUUACUUGACAGAAGAAUUUCCACACAUUGCAUGACUACUUUGAGAUUGUCGCCAGAAGAUUAAUACAAAGGUACUUCUCAAAAACACGUUUAGAAUUGUGAGAGAAACUUCUCACUCAGAUUCUUUGUGCAGGGAUCGGGCACUAAAAACACAAUGAAAGCACUCCCUUUCUUCCGUCUUCAAAAAGCAAGCUAUACAGUAAGUCCCUUUCUUCCGUCUUCAAAAAGCAAGCUAUACAGUAAGUUGUAAGGACUCUACUUGUAAUAUAAAUCUUCCUAGUUAUUGCUUGUAAAGAAAAUCAGUGACUUAAUGGUGACUCUGGCUUGAAACAGAUUUCAAAUCAAUAGUGUGAAAAUCCUCUGGGUAGCAGUAUCUUCGUAACUUCACUUGUGGCGAAGCCGAAGAUGGUGGAGAUUCACUAAGCUAUGCAGGUCGUGUCCUUGACAGACUGGAAUUAAAGCUCGCAGGGACAAGUUUCUUAUCUGUCACAGUUUAGAAAACAACUCAAUAGUUGCUGGGCAAGAAGCAGAAUGAAGCAGAAUGAAGCAGAAUGAUGGAGUUUUGUUUCUAAUUUUUCUGAUUUUAAGUAGUUUUCCUAAUAAUAUGGUCUAAUGAUUUGUUCAUUCAAUGCAAACAACAUCAUUUUCCCUUUUUUCCUAAGAAAUCAGUUUUUGUUAUAAAUUUGUGUUGCCAGAAUGUGUAAGAGCACUGAAUUUUAGAUGAAUUUCGGGAGAGCACAAAAAACCAAAAAUCAGAUAGAGCAUUAAAAGGAUUGGUUAUGAAAUCUGAAUAUAAAAAAACUUUUUCAGAAAUCAGACCAGAAAUGAACUUCAUCUACCAGUGAAACAAGUGAGGAACUGUAUAUAAAGGCAGUGAAAAGGUGGUAAGAGAGGAUGAUGGACCUGAGGAUCCGCAUUGGCUUGAAGAGAUAUCGGGGAAGCUGUGUGGAAAACAGCUUCACACCCAUCAACAUCAGCAUCAAAAGAUCCUUCUUCCAAUAAGUCAGCUUUGAGAAAGUGAAGCCUUGCCUUGAUCAUCUGGGGUACAGAAUAUGGAUUCAAUGAACUGAAGUAUGAGGCCAAUGAGAACAUUGAAUGUUCUUGUCAAAAGAAACGCUAAUCAAGCAAACUAAUAUAAGAUUCAUAUCAGUUUAGUAAAGCUGAUUCAUAAAAAGUUGAGUCAUCUAGCUACUCAAUCGAGUGAGGGCUGAUUGCAUAAAAUGAAGUAAAAACAAGAAGUAAUACAUAAAGAUUAGAUCCACAGCUCCAUAGCCACAAGCAAAGUCAGUAUAAAAUCAAACCCACAACCAAGAAAUUAAAAAGCUGAACCUCAUUAAAAAAAUUUAAGGUUCAUCAAUGACCCAACUGAGAUUGUAGGCAAAAAAGGAGACAGAUAGGGUAACCAGACCCUCCUCUCACACAGACUACCUUUCCUUCACUUAUUUUUACUUUGAAUUAGUUCUAAGUUCUAACAAUGGUCUAAUCUUUGCAAGCCAAAAAAUAAAAAAACAAGAAAUUUGCAAAUAUAGAUGCUAAAGAAUUUAUUUUAGUUUUUCAAAAAAGUGCUAAACGCUAGUUAAUUUUUAUGACCAAGUCACCCUCUUUUUAAAAUUAAUCACUAGAUACAUAAACUAAUCACUUAAAUUUAAAAAAAAAAUUUAAAAAUUUUAAUAAUUAAUUUUUUCAUUUUAACCAUUAAAUAUUUUUAUAUUUAAUUUUUAUAUGUUCAUAAGAUUUAUUAAUUGAUUUAUUAAUUUUAUAAAAAAUUUAUUAAUUAAUCAUUUAAUAUCGAAAAUAUUUUAAUUUUUUUAAAAAAUAAACUAAUUUUUAAUAUUUUAAAAUUUUCAUCGUUUUAAUAUAUUUUUUUUUUAAAUUAGAAACAUAAUAAAUUUCUCUUAAAAAAUUUCUAAAAAUUUAAUAAUUUAUUUAUUUAAUAUUCUCCUAUGACAUUACAAUAUGGUCUAUAAAAUCAAUUUAUUAUUUAAUUCUCAAAUAUCACUACUAUUUACAGGUCAAUAGUUUUUCAUUCGAUAGUUUUCAUUCAAUUUCAAUUAAGGAGAAAGAAAAUUUUAAAAUUUCUAAACUACUCUUCUUAUGAUAAUAGAAUUCUAAUUAAGGUAAAAUUGGAUGCGGUGAGGGUGAGGUUGACGGUGUAGAAGACGGAGUUGCAACAAGAGGAGGAGAAGGAGAUGGAGAUGGUGGAGGUUCUGAUGGAGUUGAAGGGAUGAGAGGGUCCACUAGAUUGGCAUUGGGCUGUGUAGGUGGAGAAGUCGCACGAAUAGUAUCCAGUGGAGUAGAGGAUAAUUGCAGUGGUUGUGAACUAGAGGUGGAUGGUGUUGGUGGAGUGGUUGAAACAGGAGAAACAGGGAUGAAUUUGGGGGUGGAGAAGAAGUCGCCCUUCCAAGUUUUUAACUUUAGAUUUCAAGUCAUAAAAUUUACAUACUAAAAUUUUGGGUCUGGAUUAAUUCUAGUCUAGAAAUAAAAUUUACAAAAGAAAUUCAGUGAUUAUUUCCAUUAUAAUAGACAUCCCAAAUUCACCAAACUAAUUUAAAAAAAAAAAAAGCCUAAAUCACAAAACACUCAUUCUUCAAGAUAGAAAUCUUUAUAAAGUCCAACCACCUUCACCAGCUAAGUGAGAGCAAAAACCUAAUCAGUCUUUCUGACUUUUCAGCUAAACCCAAUUUACUAAAUAUUUUUCUGACUAAAACCAUCGUUGCAUAAUAGAUUUUUAAGCUAAAAUCUAUCAACCCCUCGACACCAAAUCACUCCAAAUGCAAAUAUCCAUAUCAUCAAACAACUUAUAAGCAAUACUCAAAUAACUAAAUUCAAAGUAAAUAUAAUCUUUCAAUUUUUAUGAAUAAACUAACAAAAAAAAAUUUAUCAGUGUAGCAAAUGAAUCAAUACUCAACAUCAAAACGACAAUAAAAAAGAACUCAAGGAUGCCACACCUUACCUUUCACAUGUAGAACUCUUAAAAGAAAAAAACUCAAGUAAGUUUUUAAAACUAUAAAAAAUAAAUCUUCUAUAAAAAAAAAAGAAUAAUUUAUAUAUAAGUUCAUGAGAUUUAACAAAAUUCACAUAAUAGUCUUUAACUUAAAUUUAUAUAACAAUUUAGUUUAAAAUUUUAAAUUAAUAUAAUAAAAUGAUCCUUCUAUUAAUGUGAAUUAUCAUUAAAUUAUAAUAAAAUGACAAGUAUACCCUUAAUUAAAUUUAAAAAAAAGGAUGAAGACCGAAGCCCUAAAGAGCUAACCUCUCCCCGAUCAGAUCAUGUACUCGCAGAUUUUGCUUUGCUUUCACCACAACCAUUCUAAUGGUCUCGCCAACUCUAUCUACCUGGCCAUCAAAUUCUUUGCUUCCCAAACUGGUACAAUGUCUCCACCCCUCAUUUCUUCUCCUUAUAAUAGCUCAUUCACAUCCCUCAACUUAUUGUGCUGCAUGUGCUCUCGCCAUCUCACACCCACCAAGAACUAACACUCUCAUUUGUCUCAUGCCCUUAAAAUUAAGAACCCUGCAAUCCAUGUCUUGAGUGCUUGAUGUUCCUGAUAGUGGUGGCAAUAUGUGGGGAAGUACCUUGCAGAUUCUCAACACUUACUAUGCCGUGCUAAACUCCUAAAUUGAAGCCUUCCUACUCUAUUUUUCUGAAUCUUAUGGUUUAAGGUGUUCUUUUAAAUCUAUUUUUUUGAAAAUGAUAAUUUUAGUCUCCAUUGAAAUAGUUUGGUCCAAACUGAUUCAAAUAACUUUUGGAAUCACUUUUCUAUUCAAAAUGAUUAACCCAAAUUAUUUAAUAGUUUAGUAUUAGCUAUUAUAUACGAAUACGCCGAUGUAAAAUCUCACACUCUCUUGCUAAAUUUGUGACGUAUUUGUCGGAACUGAAUCAAAUAUAAUUGUUAAACCAGAUGAUGCAGGACUAUUUAGACUCCGUCAGGAGUUUUAAUCAAUAUCGUUUGGCUAAAACGAAAUAGGAGAAAAGAUAAACUGAAAGACUAAAAGUCUUAUUGAAAUUCCUCAAAUAAUGAAAAGUGUGUUUCUAAUAGCCAAGGGAGGCUAUUUAUAAUAAAAUCCUAAUAUGCAAAAUAAUUCUAAUCCUAAUAGGAGUCUAAAAUCCUAAUAGGCAAGGGAGGCUAGUAGAAAUAAAAUUCUAAUAUGCAAAAUAAUCCUAAUUCUAAUAGGAGUCUAAAAUCCUAAUAGCCAAGAGAGGCUAAUAGAAAUAAAAUCCUAAUAUGUAAAAUAAUCCUAAUCCUAAUAGUCGUCUAAAAUCCUAAUAGUCGUCUAAAAUUCUAAUAGUCAAUGGAGGUUAUGUAAAUAUGCAAAAUUAUAAAAAUACCCAAAAUAUCUAAAAAUAAUAAUUAAAAUAUAAAAGUUAGCCCGGUCCAAGUUUGCCGUAAAAUUCAAGGCUAGUUGCUCCGUAUCACCAGAAUUCUUGCUAAAUUUGCGACGUUACCAUCGCAACUAAAUACAAUAUAAUUGUUAAAUAAGGACCAGACAUUUGGGUAUUGUGGUUCGCUAGUAUUUCCUCAUUUUUCACGGGUAGCUUUUUUUUUGCAGAUUCACUAAUUCUGUAUAAUUUAUUUGAUCCAAAUAAUUCAGCUUAAACUGAUCUAAAGAAUUUUUGGAUUCAAUUUUUGGUUUAAACUCAAAAUAAUUAAUCUAAAUUAUUUAAUAAUUUUAUGUUAAAUAUUAUAUACAAUUCGAGUUGAAUCUCACGGACAUCACAACAUUCCAAGCACGCAGUUGAAUCUCACAGGACAUCACCUCUCGCUAUUCGAUUGUUUAUCCUUCUUGUUUGCCUGUAGCCAUGGAUAAGCAUUGGUGGGCUAGCGUUGGAUUGCUGUUUAUUUGAUUUGUAUAUGCUAAAAAUAUUAAAGUUAAUUUUUUUAAUCACUGGUGAAAAAAUAUAGGAGUGAAUAUAAACUUAUUGUAAAAACUAAUAUAUAUACCUCAUUAUUUCUAAAAUUUAAAGCUAAUUCAAGCAAAAUACCGGCAACCCCAGAAAGGAUUGAGCUGGAUUUGGAGGCGGUAUAAAUCCAGAUGAUAAAACUGCAAACAGAGGCGCAGGAGCUAAAUUAAUAAGAUUGGCAUUUGAAGCCGCUGCUUUGUCGCUGUCGGAAGAAUGAUAUUAAGCAAGAGAAAGGAUUCGUGGGAAGAUGUAGAUAAAUCAGAGUCAUCAGACUUGCCAGUUCUUCGGGCUCAGCGAGAAAAUUACUUUUACAUUUUUUUUGUUGGAAUCUAAAAAUUAAUGAAAAAAAUUAUUUCUUAUUACUAUAAUUUUUUUUUUUCAAAUAAGGCUACUAUAUUUUUAUUAAAAACUAAAUAGAUUCUAUUCUAUUUUUAAUAAUAAAAUGAAAUGGUUCGAUUGAAACGGAUUUAAAUAACUUUUAAAUUUAUUCUUCACUCAUUUAAAAUGAUUAAUUUAAAUUAAAUUAUUUAAUAAUUUUAUAUUAAAUAUUAUAUAUUAUUUCGAUUUAUCAUAAUUUAUAAAUAUAAAAUAUUUUUUCAUAAGUAAGCAGUUAAUUAUUACACUCUCGUUGAAUUUUACAACAUUUUUAUCACAAUCGAAUACUGAAUCGAAUAUAAUCACUAAAUCAUUCCCGUAAACAAACAGCUGGCUAUUAUAUUUUUAUCCGCUAAUUUUUAAAACGUCCUCAUCGAAACUGAAUACUGAAUCGAAUAUAAUUGUUAAACCAUUUUCACAAUUAAAUAGCUAAUUAUUAUACUCUUUUAUGCUAAAUUUUACGACUAUUCUCAUCGCAACUGAAUACUGAAUCAGAUAUUAUUAUUAAAUCAUUUCUACAAACAAGCAGCGAAUUCCCAAGCCAAGCAGGUAACUAUUAUAUAAAAUAUAAUUUUUAUAUUUUUAAAUAUGAUUUUUAAUAAAAAUAAUAUUAAAAAUAUUAUUAUUAUUUUAAUGAAAAAUAAUAUUUAAAAUUAUAAAAUUAUAUUUUAAUGAUAUAACUAAAUUAGCUUUUAAUGUAAAGCUAUGGGUUUUAUUUAACGAAAAAAAUAUUAAAGUCAAAAUUUUUAAACACGGGUGAAAAAAUAUAGGAGUGAAUAUAAACUUAACAGCUUAAUUCAUAUAUUUUGCCUUUUUUAAAUUAAAGUUUUCUCUAUUAAUAUGUUAAAUUAUAAUAAAAUAAGGAAAAAUAUAUAUUAAACCCUUAAAAUUUAUUAAAAAAUUACUGUAGCUAAAAAAGUCUCAUAAAGUACUUAAACUAUCUAAAAAUGUGAUUAAAAUGAUUCUACAAUUCCAAUUAACAGAUAACAUAAAUAUUUUAAGGUAUUUCUAGAUUAAUUAAAAUUUUUAAAAAAUAUUUUUUAAUUGUAAAAAUUAUAGAUUGAAUUUCGACUUUAGUAAAUGUAUAGGAUUUAAACGAUAAUUAUUGAUUAUUAAUGGUAAAUUUAAACGAUAAUUUAGAACACACCGCAAUUAUUGAGAAGAAUGCUUUUUCCUUCACUUUUUUUUUUCUUUUAAAUUAGUCAUUUGUUGUCGCCAUCUUCUUCUUCACAGCAACAUUUCAUCCUUUUACAAUCAAACCAAAACACCCAAAAUGGCCGACGGAGUUCUCUCUAACGUUGUCGGAGAUAUCAUUACCAAGCUGGGUUCUCGAGCCCUUCAUGAGAUCGGAUUGUGGUGGGGCGUCAAAGGUGAGCUUAAGAAACUUGAGGCCACAGUUUCUAGUAUUCGCAAUGUUCUUCUGGAUGCUGAGGAGCAGCAGAAACUUAACCGUCAAGUGAAAGGCUGGCUUGAGAGGCUAGAAGAAGUUGUUUAUGAUGCUGAUGACUUGGUAGAUGACUUCGCCACUGAAGCUCUAAGGCGCCGAGUGAUGACUGGAAAUAGAAUGACAAAGGAGGUAUGUCUCUUCUUUUCGUCUUCAAAUCAACUUGUUUAUGGUUUUAAAAUGGGUCAUAAAAUUAAGGCGAUUAGGGAGAGGCUAGCUGAUAUUGAAGGUGAUAGAAAAUUUAAGUUAGAGGUUCGAACUGAUCAGGAGAGGAUUGCAUGGAGGGAUCAAACUGAGUCCUCUUUACCUGAAGUGGUUAUUGGGAGAGAGGGUGACAAAAAGGCAAUUACAGAACUUGUAUUGUCUUCCAAUGGUGAAGAGUGCGUUUCAGUCCUCUCAAUUGUUGGAAUGGGAGGGUUAGGGAAGACGACUCUUGCUCAAAUCAUAUUCAAUGAUGAACUGAUUAAGAAUUCAUUUGAGCGAAGAAUAUGGGUGUGUGUUUCAGAUCCUUUUGAUGUGAAAAUGGUUGUUAGAAAGAUUCUAGAGUCUGCAACAGAGAAGAAACCAGAAGAUCUUGAGUUAGAAGCACUGAAAUCUCAACUUGGAAGAAUUAUUGAUGGAAAGAAAUAUCUGCUUGUUCUAGAUGAUGUGUGGAAUGAGAAUAGAGAAAAAUGGCAGAAUUUAAAGAGAUUAUUAGUGGGUGGCUCUAGUGGAAGUAAGAUAUUAAUAACCACUCGCUCUAAAAAGGUGGCUGAUAUAUCUAGCACAAUGGCACCACAUGUUUUGGAAGGGUUGUCUCGGGAUGAGUCUUGGUCUUUGUUUUUGCAUGUAGCACUUGAGGGGCAGGAGCCAAAACAUGCAAAUGUAAGAGAGAUUGGAGAGGAGAUUUUGAAGAAAUGUUGUGGAGUUCCUCUUGCUAUAAAAACUAUCGCAAGUCUCUUGUAUGAGAAAAAUCCAGAAACUGAGUGGCCGCUCUUUUUAAGAAAUGAACUCUCAAGAAUAAGUCAAGACGAUAAUGAUAUUGUGCCAACACUGAAACUAAGUUAUGAUCAAUUACCAUCACAUUUGAAGCAUUGUUUUGCAUACUGCGCUUUAUGUCCAAAAGAUUAUGAGAUUGAUGUGAAAACAUUAAUCCAUCUUUGGGUUGCACAAGGGUUUGUUGAGGCACCAAUUACGAGUGAUCGUCUUGAGGAUAUUGGGCUUGAAUAUUUUAUGAAACUAUGGUGGAGGUCAUUUUUUCAAGAGGUGAAAAGAGAUAGAUUUGGAAAUAUCGAAAGCUGUAAAAUGCAUGAUUUAAUGC
rnacentral:lncRNA from 1 species